AUACGUAGGUGACAAGCGUUAUCCGGAUUUACUGGGCGUAAAGGGCGUGUAGGCGGUCUUGCAAGUCAGAAGUGAAAUUCCUGAGCUCAACUCGGGCGCUGCUUCUGAAACUGCAGGACUUGAGUGCUGGAGGGGAUAGCGGAAUUCCUAGUGGAGCGGUAAAAUGCGCAGAUAUUAGGAAGAACACCGGUGGCGAAGGCGGCUAUCUGGACAGGAACUGACGCUGAGGCGCGAAAGCGUGGGGAGCAAACAGGAUUAGAUACCCUGGUAGGCCACGCUGUAAACGAUGAAUACUAGGUGUGGGGGGUAUCGACUCCCUCUGUGCCGCAGUUAACACAAUAAGUAUUCCGCCUGGGGAGUAGGGCCGCAAGGUUGAAACUUAAAGGAAUUGACGGGG
rnacentral:rRNA from 1 species